ACACGCAUGACACACUGCAUAUCAAUAAGCGGAGGAAAAGAAACUAACAAGGAUUCCCCUAGUAACGGCGAGUGAAGCGGGAAGAGCUCAAAUUUGAAAUCUUCAAGGGUUUCCCUUGACGAAUUGUAGUUUAAAGAAGUGUUUUCUGUUAGAGAGGUGGUAAAAGUUCUUUGGAAUAGGACAUCAUAGAGGGUGAGAAUCCCGUAUUUGAUCACUUUCUACUAACGUUGUGAUACACUUUCAAAGAGUCGGAUUGUUUGGGAAUGCAGUCCAAAAUGGGUGGUAAAUUUCAUCUAAAGCUAAAUAUUGGCGAGAGACCGAUAGCGAACAAGUACCGUGAGGGAAAGAUGAAAAGAACUUUGAAAAGAGAGUUAAACAGUACGUGAAAUCGUCAAAAGGGAAGCGUUUGACACCAGUGUUGUUUUUCCGAAAAUCAAUUAUGAAUGGCUUGAUUUUAAGUUUCAUGACCCUAAAAGCUUGUUUCUUAUUUUUCAUGUCUUUCGUAAUGCACUUUUCGGUUAACAAGUCAACAUCAAUUUCUUUUGUUGUAAAAGGUUAAGAGGAAGGUGGCUUUACUUUCGGGUAAAGUGUUUAUAGCCUUUUAACUCUGCAAUCGGAGAGAUUGAGGUCUGCAGCGUAGAUCCUUCGGGGUUAGAUACGUUUGUGCUAAGUUAUAGCUUUUCAUAGACAACUUGUUGACUAUGUUAAGUCUUGUAAUUUACUCGCAGAUGCUAUUUUACCUACGCUUAGGAUGUUGACUGAUAUGUAGUCGUA
rnacentral:rRNA from 1 species